CGCACAUUGCGCCUAUUAGUAUUCUAGUAGGCAUGCCUAUUCGAGCGUCAUUUCAACCCUUAAGCCUAGCUUAGUGUUGGGAGAUUACCUCACAGUAACUCCCCAAAACCAUUGGCAGAGUAAUACACCUCUGAGCGCAGUAAUUUUACCUCGCUUUUGCGGCUUGUAUUAGCUAUCGCCAUAAACCUAUAUUUUUUCAAUGGUUGACCUCGGAUUAGGUAGGAAUACCCGCUGAACUUAA
rnacentral:misc_RNA from 1 species